rnacentral:rRNA from 1 species
GACGAACGCUGGCGGCGUGCUUAACACAUGCCAGUCGAACGGAAAGGCCCUGCUUUUGUGGGGUGCUCGAGUGGCGAACGGGUGAGUAACACGUGAGUAACCUGCCCUUGACUUUGGGAUAACUUCAGGAAACUGGGGCUAAUACCGGAUAGGAGCUCCUGCUGCAUGGUGGGGGUUGGAAAGUUUCGGCGGUUGGGGAUGGACUCGCGGCUUAUCAGCUUGUUGGUGGGGUAGUGGCUUACCAAGGCUUUGACGGGUAGCCGGCCUGAGAGGGUGACCGGCCACAGUGGGAAUGAGAAACGGCCCAGACUCCUACGGGAGGCAGCAGUGGGGAAUAUUGCAGAAUGGGCGGAAGCCUGAUGCAGCAACGCCGCGUGCGGGAUGACGGCCUUCGGGUUGUAAACCGCUUUCGCCUGUGACGAAGCGUGAGUGACGGUAAUGGGUAAAGAAGCACCGGCUAACUACGUG